UUGCAAUCUAGAUCUGUAUUAAAAAUCAAUAGAGCCAAACAAUAUUGCUUAGAAAUCAAUGAUAUCGAAGUGCUGGAACCACUAAUUUUUCUUGGACUUCACUUGGUGAUGAAAUUUGAACCUCAUUCAAAUCUAUAUGAGGUACCGAACUCACAUUUGCAGCACCCCUUUCACUCUCUAUUUUCGAAGACUUUCUCAAAGCUGUGACAAGAAACUCGCAACAUUUACCACUCAACAAAAGCACAAACUUUUGAUGACGGGGGGGGGGGGGGG
rnacentral:lncRNA from 1 species